rnacentral:rRNA from 1 species
GAUGAACGCUGGCGGCGUGCCUAAUACAUGCAAGUCGAGCGAAUGGAUUAAGAGCUUGCUCUUAUGAAGUUAGCGGCGGACGGGUGAGUAACACGUGGGUAACCUGCCCAUAAGACUGGGAUAACUCCGGGAAACCGGGGCUAAUACCGGAUAACAUUUUGAACCGCAUGGUUCGAAAUUGAAAGGCGGCUUCGGCUGUCGCUUAUGGAUGGACCCGCGUCGCAUUAGCUAGUUGGUGAGGUAACGGCUCACCAAGGCAACGAUGCGUAGCCGACCUGAGAGGGUGAUCGGCCACACUGGGACUGAGACACGGCCCAGACUCCUACGGGAGGCAGCAGUAGGGAAUCUUCCGCAAUGGACGAAAGUCUGACGGAGCAACGCCGCGUGAGUGAUGAAGGCUUUCGGGUCGUAAACUCUGUUGUUAGGGAAGAACAAGUGCUAGUUGAAUAAGCUGGCACCUUGACGGUACCUAACCAGAAAGCCACGGUUAACUACGUGCCAGCCGCCGCGGUAA